GUUUUUCUUCUUACCAAAAAUGUUUCUGUUCCUCUUUCCAAACAGGGAAGUUUUGGAGCRCGUGGUGACAAAGGACAGCAAGGGGAGAGAGGUACCAUCGGCCCUGAUGGCAUUGUUGGACGAAAUGGACUGAGGCUCCAGAGGAGAGCCAGGUCCAGGUGGUGACCUGGGCUUCAAAGGUGGCUCUUGACCUAAAGGAGUGCCAGUUUCCCCUGUGCGUAUCAGGAGCCAUCUCCAGUCUGUCUGGAGGAAGGGUCUCCCCUUUAUUUUACAUUGACACAUAUGAACUUUUACUGACUCAUUGAUCGAUUGAUUACUUGCUUGGUUGAUUGCCAGCUUUUUGACCUUUUUGACCUGACAGAUGAGCAGGUAUUGCAGCUGUGUAAAAGAGUGGUAACAGUCCAGAUCUCCCAGUAUGCAGCUUCCAUCCGGGCCAAGUGUUCCCAAGGCUGCCCCAUCAACAACCGCACACUUAUUGGGCCGCCUGGAACCAGGAGACCAACUGGAGAAUCAGGCAAACCCGGUAAAGCGGGCAAAGCUGGAGUCAAAGGAGGCAGGGGCAUCCAAGGGGACGCAGGAGUGGAUGGUCAGAAGGGGGCAGAGGGCGAAAGAGGUAUGUAAUCCAACCAAU